UGUAUGAAUUUUAUAAAUAUCAUUAAACACAUUAAAAGAACAUUUUUAGCAUUUGUACAUGACAAGUUUUCAACUAAUCUGGGCGAGACCUGGGGAACUGUUUAUGGGAAGAUAGAGAGGUGAAAGACGUUUCAAUGUCGCGCCUUUUUUCCCUCCCCUCACUGCUGACGAACCAUCGCCUUCAGAGCGAACGGUUUACAGAGCAGAGAAGCAGCAGGUUCAGUAUAUAAGUUGAUAAAUGCAUGCGGCGGAGUGAGGAUGUAUGGGAGGAGACCAAUAUACACAUAGAAGAAGCUUUACGAUGUUACAAGGAGCAGGCCGACAAACACCUCCUAUCAGCCUGGUGACUGGGUGUGGCUUUUGAUUUCAGGUUUGAGGGGGGCUGCAGGAAAUUGCAGCUCAGGUAUGUUGGAGGUGCUUCCUGGUGACUUGCUACCCGCUCCCAUUAGGUGGAUGGUUCUCUUGUCUGCUGUGCGUGAGGUGCUGCACUCCAGGAGACGUGGUUGAGAAUGGUAAUAUGUUAUCAACUGGGAGUGUUACGGUCCCGAGGAGCAUUGCUGGGUUCCUGUUAAGGAUGUGUUGGAUUGUGGUCUCAAACUUCCAUGUUCAGUUUCCCGAAAAACCUGCUCCAAGGCCAAGAGGUCACCCCAGGGGUUCCAUCUCCAGUUCCUGUCCAGUUCGUCACUUGUCCUCGCUCCCUGACUGUGUGUGGGUUCCAUCUGCUGGUUCUGCCGGUCCCUCCAGUUGGGGUGUGUGGUUGGGUCACCAUAGUCACCCUUGUUCCAGGCCCCCCAAGAGGUGGGGGUGAGAUACUGUCACGCAUCCCUCUGGCUCCCAAGCCGAAAAGGACUCCAUUUCCCAUAAUGCUAGUGAUGCUCUCACAUGACUCCUAACCAGUGUCACAUGACUUAAAACCCACCCCCUACACAAUCACCUGUGCUUUAGCCUAUAUAUUCCCACCCUGAUGUUUAGUCCUUUACCAAGUUUUGACUAGCCCACUAGUAUUUCUAAGCGUCCAUUGUCUGUAUUAUUUCUUGUGUUUGACCUUUGCUUGUUUUUUGACUCCGUGUUUUGCCUCUCCCAUUUUGUACUCUCUUUACUGGUUUCGGAUCUUUGCUUGCUUUUCCACUUCGUCUUUUGGUAUGCCCCCUUACUACUAAUAUUUUUUUGCUGGCUUGGACUGUUUUUGACCAUCCCUUUGUGUUCAAGCCCUUUAUUAAAACCUCCCUUGGUGUCUGA